AGAGUUUGAUCAUGGCUCAGAACGAACGCUGGCGGCGUGGAUAAGACAUGCAAGUCGAACGAGAUUUUUUCCUGUAGCAAUACAGGGAAAAGUCUAGUGGCGAACGGGUGCGUAACACGUGGGCAAUCUGCCUUAAAGUGGGGGAUAGCUCGGCGAAAGCCGAAUUAAUACCGCAUGUGAUCAGAGGGGACAUCCCUUCGAAAUCAAAGUCGGGGCAACCUGACGCUUUUUGAGGAGCCCGCGGCCUAUCAGCUAGUUGGUGAGGUAAUGGCUCACCAAGGCUUUGACGGGUAGCUGGUCUGAGAGGACGACCAGUCACACUGGAACUGAGACACGGUCCAGACACCUACGGGUGGCAGCAGUCGAGAAUUUUUCUCAAUGGGGGAAACCCUGAAGGAGCGACGCCGCGUGGAGGAUGAAGGUCUUCGGGUUGUAAACUCCUGUCAUUUGGGAACAAGUUGGACGCCGUAACUGCGCGUCCAUUGAUAGUACCAGAAGAGGAAGGGACGGCUAACUCUGUGCCAGCAGCCGCGGUAAUACAGAGGUCUCAAGCGUUGUUCGGAUUCAUUGGGCGUAAAGGGUGUGUAGGUGGCGCGCUAAGUCGGGUGUGAAAUUUCGGAGCUUAACUCCGAAACUGCAUUCGAUACUGGCGUGCUUGAGGACUGGAGAGGAGACUGGAAUUCAUGGUGUAGCAGUGAAAUGCGUAGAGAUCAUGAGGAAGACCAGUGGCGAAGGCGCUCUGGACAGUUCCUGACACUGAGACACGAAGGCCAGGGGAGCAGACGGGAUUAGAUACCCUAGUAGUCC
rnacentral:rRNA from 1 species